GGGUUUGUGGCUUAAUUGGAUAUAGCGUAUCCCUCCGGAGGAUGAGAUUGAGGGUUCGGAUCCCGCCAGACCCC